UUAGUCACUGCUGGUCCAAUAAGAUCACUCUCCAGAAAUCCCUACACAACAACAACAACAACAACAAAAAUAGAAAAUUCAGUAUCACCCCAGAAAGGUGUUCAAAACUGGAAAAAAAGUUGGAGGCUUCAACACCUAAUUUCACCCUCUCAGCAGCCUAGGAUCUGAACCAGAUGGGAUCAACUAGACAUGACUCAGCAGCCUAGGAUCUGAACCAGGUGGGAUCAACUAGACAUGACUCAGCAGCCUAGGAUCUGAACCAGGUGGGAUCAACUAGACAUGACUCAGCAGCCUAGGAUCUGAACCAGAUGGGAUCAACUAGACAUGACUCAGCAGCCUAGGAUCUGAACCAGAUGGGAUCAACUAGACAUGACUCAGCAGCCUAGGAUCUGAACCAGGUGGGAUCAACUUGACAUGACUCAGCAGCCUAGGAUCUGAACCAGAUGGGAUCAACUAGACAUGACUCAGCAGCCUAGGAUCUGAACCAGAUGGGAUCAACUAGACAUGACUCAGCAGCCUAGGAUCUGAACCAGAUGGGAUCAACUAGACAUGACUCAGCAGCCUAGGAUCUGAACCAGAUGGGAUCAACUAGACAUGACUCAGCAGCCUAGGAUCUGAACCAGAUGGGAUCAACUAGACAUGACUCAGCAGCCUAGGAUCUGAACCAGAUGGGAUCAACUAGACAUGACUCAGCAGCCUAGGAUCUGAACCAGAUGGGAUCAACUAGACAUGACUCAGCAGCCUAGGAUCUGAACCAGAUGGGAUCAACUAGACAUGACUCAGCAGCCUAGGAUCUGAACCAGAUGGGAUCAACUAGACAUGACUCAGCAGCCUAGGAUCUGAACCAGACGGGAUCAACUAGACAUGACUCAGCAGCCUAGGAUCUGAACCAGAUGGGAUCAACUAGACAUGACUCAGCAGCCUAGGAUCUGAACCAGAUGGGAUCAACUAGACAUGACUCAGCAGCCUAGGAUCUGAACCAGAUGGGAUCAACUAGACAUGACUCAGCAGCCUAGGAUCUGAACCAGAUGGGAUCAACUAGACAUGACUCAGCAGCCUAGGAUCUGAACCAGAUGGGAUCAACUAGACAUGACUCAGCAGCCUAGGAUCUGAACCAGAUGGGAUCAACUAGACAUGACUCAGCAGCCUAGGAUCUGAACCAGAUGGGAUCAACUAGACAUGACUCAGCAGCCUAGGAUCUGAACCAGAUGGGAUCAACUAGACAUGACUCAGCAGCCUAGGAUCUGAACCAGAUGGGAUCAACUAGACAUGACUCAGCAGCCUAGGAUCUGAACCAGAUGGGAUCAACUAGACAUGACUCAGCAGCCUAGGAUCUGAACCAGAUGGGAUCAACUAGACAUGACUCAGCAGCCUAGGAUCUGAACCAGAUUGGAUCAACUAGACAUGACUCAGCAGCCUAGGAUCUGAACCAGAUGGGAUCAACUAGACAUGACUCAGCAGCCUAGGAUCUGAACCAGAUGGGAUCAACUAGACAUAUUAUGUUGUAUGCAUGUUUUGGUCCUCACCUUACUGAUCCCAUCCAGUUCUGCAUUAAGUUGAUCCAGCCUGGAUUUUAACUCGCCAACUUGUUGCUCGACUGACCGAAUGGCCUUCAUGUUAUCAUCAGCUUCGGGGUCAUACUGAAAACAGGAGUAGAGUGGAUAUGUAUCACUCAUAAUAUGAGAACUUUAAAAUUAAAUCAAAUAUGAAAAGUAAUCACUUCCGUUGGGACUGGAAUGCUGAAUUACAAGAGCACAGAUUAACCUGGUUAAGGCAUAGAGGUCAGUAAAAAAAGGCAGUUGAUAUACUGUACGACUCAUGUUUUACCACCAAACACAGCUUACUAUAUGCAAAAUUGAUUUUUUUUUGUAUGUAAGGAGGGGGGAGAACCAGAGAGCCCAAAGAAUAA